CAGCAGCCACGGUAAUACGUAGGUGGCAAGCGUUGUCCGGAAUUAUUGGGCGUAAAGGGCUCGCAGGCGGUUUCUUAAGUCUGAUGUGAAAGCCCCCGGCUCAACCGGGGAGGGUCAUUGGAAACUGGGAAACUUGAGUGCAGAAGAGGAGAGUGGAAUUCCACGUGUAGCGGUGAAAUGCGUAGGGAUGUGGAGGAACACCAGUGGCGAAGGCGACUCUCUGGUCUGUAACUGACGCUGAGGAGCGAAAGCGUGGGGAGCGAACAGGAUUAGAUACCCGCGUAGUCCCUGUCUCUUAUAC
rnacentral:rRNA from 1 species